rnacentral:lncRNA from 1 species
UUUUCAUUGCAGUUGCUUCUCAUUUGAAUAAGUUAGGAAAUGAGCUAACAUGCUUUACAAGUUGGUCAGUUUAAAGGGAAGAAUCAGUAAAACAUUUCAUAAAAUUGGUAUAAAGAAAAUUUAUGACAAAGCCUUAAAAUAUGCACAGCUAUACAUACACGAUGCACAGAAACAAUUUUAAAGAUAUUAUCAUUUGAGAACACUAAAUCUGCUUGAACCUACUUUUGUUAGUAAAUUACUUUCUUUUUCUUCUUUCUUUUCAACUUCCUUUUUAUCUUUACAGAAAUCAAGUGUAUUUCCCAUAUUAUCUACACAUGUUUAAUAACAAUACACACAUCUCCUAAAGAUGUGGUGCUUACAGCAUUAAUCAUAAAUUCUUUCCUCAUGCACUGCAAUGCAAUGAUUACAUAUACAUUGUACCAAAUAAUGUGUCAGCUACACAUUUAUUCCUACAAUCUACGGAUAAUCAGUCAUAAUGGUACAUGCUAAAACAAAGAAAAUGUAUCUGAGGU